rnacentral:rRNA from 1 species
AGUGAGCGCUGGCGGUAGGCCUAACACAUGCAAGUCGAACGGCAGCACAGUAAGAGCUUGCUCUUACGGGUGGCGAGUGGCGGACGGGUGAGGAAUACAUCGGAAUCUACUUUUUCGUGGGGGAUAACGUAGGGAAACUUACGCUAAUACCGCAUACGACCUACGGGUGAAAGCAGGGGAUCUUCGGACCUUGCGCGAUUGAAUGAGCCGAUGUCGGAUUAGCUAGUUGGCGGGGUAAAGGCCCACCAAGGCGACGAUCCGUAGCUGGUCUGAGAGGAUGAUCAGCCACACUGGAACUGAGACACGGUCCAGACUCCUACGGGAGGCAGCAGUGGGGAAUAUUGGACAAUGGGCGCAAGCCUGAUCCAGCCAUACCGCGUGGGUGAAGAAGGCCUUCGGGUUGUAAAGCCCUUUUGUUGGGAAAGAAAAGCAGCAGGUUGAUACCCCGCUGUUCUGACGGUACCCAAAGAAUAAGCACCGGCUAACUUCGUG